rnacentral:lncRNA from 1 species
GACAUCUAAAGAUGAUUUGAAUCCUAUGGGACCAUGCCCAGGUUAUGUGCAAAUACUGUGCUGCUUUAUAUUAGGGACUUGAGCACCCACGGAUGUUGGCACUGAUGAGGAGUUCUGGAGCCCAGGAAUGACUGUCUAGUUAAAUGCCUUCAUACAUGAGCAGCGAGGUCUAGCUGCCAUUCCCCAGGAGCAGGCCAAAGAGUAUUUUGAGCAGCGCCUUCGAAGAGACGCUGGAGCCCCAAGGCCAAAGCUGACUCUUUGGCUCGGUCCGAAUGGCGCUGUCAUGCUGAGAGUGGCCACUAGAGGGGGGCCGUGUUCCAGACCCUGGCGGGCAGCCUGCGCGCUGCUCCUUGGAGCUUCUAUAAAGAGCGCCUGCGGGAGCUGCUGCCCUGCACUCAGUCAGAACCUCCCAGGACGCCGCUGCCUCCACGCGAUAUUUCCGGGUCGCUGCCCGCGGCUGACUGGGACGAAGCACCUCGCCGGGGCGUCCCAGGUGCAGACCUCCACGCACCUGGCCACCCGCUAGAGUCUCGCCUCCCAGCCUGGUCCUCCCGCACGGCCCUGGUCUGGUAAAGUCACCGGGCGCCCUGCAGCCCUCCUUUGACUCGGUCUGGACUUGGCUGGCGGUGGGGACAGACUCUGAGGGGCUGCCCGGGUCUCAGCGCGACGGCGGCCGGCUCUCCGACCACCGCAGCGAAUGCUGGAAACUGAGCGCCAGGCUCUGUGGCCUCAGCGGGGGCGUCAGGACCUGAUGGAGAACAAAGCCAUGUACCUGCACACUGUGAGCGACCGCGACACCAGCUCCGUCUUCGAGGAGCCCUUUGAUGGCCGGAGCCUGUCCAAGCUGAACCUGUGUGAGGACGGUCCGUGCCACAAACGGCGGGCGAGUGGGUGCUGUACCCAGCUUGGCUCGCUGUCAGCUCUGAAGCAUGCUGUCGUGGGCCUCUACCUGCUGGUCCUCCUGAUUCUCGUGGGCAUCUUCAUUUUAGCAGCAGUCGCCGUCAUCAUCGUCGUCGACAUCUUCAACAAUCACUCAACUUGUGCCUGAGUGCUUGGUGGUACAGGGCAAAAGGACAAGCCCUGGGGUGAACACAAACUCCUGCGAUGGACUGGACAGGGAAUAUGAUGUAACUCAUGCUACAUUCUAAAUAAUGCAAAGGAAAUCCCAAUUCCCAAGGGCUGGAGUCUUGGGAACAGCCCAGCCUAGGGAAGAAGAGUCUAAAUGUCAUAUGAACUUCAAGUCCCUUUUUCUGAUCACCUUGUUUCAAGCAGUUCAGCCCCUGCUCUCUAUGCUGAGAACAGUGUGCUCAGAGCCCACACCCUUCACACCCUAGGUUCUGAAUCGAUCGCUCAUCUUGGAAAUCAGAGUGUGAUGCCAGUGGCCUUCCUUGGAACACUCAUCAGAGACAAUCCUGUGACAUUUCAUCCUUGCGGUUAUUGCAAGGAUGUCAUUGAGGGCGUUGUUCAUGAAGUUGUAGCACUUUGACCUCCAAGGACCCGUGAGAAAUUAUUUUGUGUCUUGGUUGCAGAAGGAGGUACGCACUUCUUAAGGAAUUAGUUUCUUUUCACCUUGAGGCUGUGAAUUUACAAGACAUUAAAAUCCCUGGAAGGAGGUAAUUAAUACAGUCUGACAGUCAGCUGCAACCCUUUGCACCAUGUAUGAAUUCAGAGGUAACUAAAGAAAGCCGAGGAUCAGCUCUGCUCAACCCACAGUGAGCUACAGCCUGUGGGAGUCUCUGUGUGGGUCUCAUUUCUGGCCCUGUUCUACCUUUGCCUUGUUCUCACCUUUCUCUACUUAGUGUCUUUUGUGUAAACACCCUUGGCCUUUUUUGGGACAAGGAAGGGUGUUAUGCUUUUAAAAAAUUCUGCCUGUUCUAUUUUUUUUUUUGGUACUGGGGAUCGAACUCGGGUCCUUGCACUUGCGCAGCAGGCGGU